UGGUGGGAGGGAGAGUGAGCCUGAAUUCAACAAAGUUAGAAGCAGAAAGAGGUCGGUAAUGAUUGCCAUGAGGGCCUCACAGAAUUUCUCUACAUUAUCUUUCAUCAUUGUGGUUUAGAGUUUUUCCUUUGCAUCUUAUCUGCACAACCCGAUCAGCAUUAAUGACGAAUUAGUGCUUUGAUCAGUUUUCAUCACACACAUUUUUAAAAGAAAAACAGUGAUAAAAAUAUCACAAACACUUGUUGAGAUGCCAGCAAAUUCAUUUCCAAGUUCCCAUAUGCAUAUGAAGGAAAAGAGGUGUCUGGUCUUCCUGGAAUGACACCAAUUUGGAAAAUUAUCUUGAUUACCCAGUUUUUUUUUUUAAUUGAAUGUUUUCAUGAUACUGUGCAAGCUGUUCCAGAUUUCUCUAGUAAUUUUGAAAACUAGCAUCUCAUUUUAUAACACUGUGUAUUCAUGUAGAUUUAUACGAUGGUUUAUAUAGAGGGACAAUACAACCUUUAGCAAGCAUCCCGUUAAUCUUUAUUAAAUUGAAACAUUUAUUUCUGUACUAUUAUUCUAUUUUUACUUUAUACAGAGAUAAUCCAGUUUUAGAAAAUGAAUAAUCUUUAUUAUAUACUGCUGUGGACUCAUGAAAUAUGAAUUCCUUUGUCUCCCCGUGGGGAAGUCAUUGUCAUUACUGACCAUUUGUCUUAAGAAGCAUUAGGCUUCUACAGAAGAAAGUUUUCACAGAGGUAGACUUGAUAAUUUUGCUUUGUAUGUUUGCUAUCAUCAUUCAACUUUUAUUUGCGCAAUGAAUAAUAUAGUUUAAAUUUUGGAAUAACCCAUUAUUUCCUACAAUAAAACUUCUUUUUCUGGGCACCACUCAAAAGCAUGUUAAGUAUCUCUUUGUUCUUACUGUCAUAUUUUAUUACCUAAUUCCUAUGAUAUUAUUGUCCCCUAUACAUUAGUAAAAUACUUUUUUUCUUUCUUUCAGUACAUUGGACCACUUUUCUGCAGCUAACUUGAACUUAAGGCUCUCAUAAAUGAACACACAAUGGCCGAUGGCAUACACCUCUGUUUCCAAAUUUGGAAAGGUGCUUGGACCAGGCUGUAAGGCUCAACCAACAGAGCAGAUGAUGUAAUUCCAGAAGGCAAGCUGUCAAAGUUUAAACAAAGUCUGUGCCUGACCCUUACUCCGAAAAGUCACAUUAUACUUGUAUGCUUAAAUGAGAAAAUGUCUUUCUGUAAGUUAAAAUCAACCAACCAUCCAACCAGUCUACCAGUCAACAAAAACUCUUUAUGUGGAAGACAGUGUGAUGAAAGA